UGUAUUUUCAUUCCCCCGCGAAGCACCCUGCUCCUUCGCAACCCACGUCUGCUUCCACAACCCAGCACCUCCCGGCGACGCCGUCUCUCGUCAGUGCCACCGAGCGGCGCUCCUCCGUCUGCCCAGCGCCUCCACUGUCCCUCGAGCUCGUUGAACGGAGCAAACAAGAUUUGAAUCAUGCGAACCCUCCUUCCUCGCCACGAACCCACGUCCAUCAGCUUCCUCUUGCCAGUGCCAGCUCACGACUGCGUCUCUCUGUUCAGGGCCAAAUCGCGACGCUCGUACGUCUGCCCAGUGCCACCACUCCCCGCGAGUUGAUUGAACGGACCAAACCAGCGACGGGACUGAGUGCUCUGUUUCGCCAAAUGGUUUGCUAGAAAAUUAGGGUUCGUAACUGCUCUUGUGCGUGCGCAUUGCUAUUAUUGAGGCACAUUUUGUGGUAUUUGGCUCUUCUUGCAAAGUAUCCUGUGUCAACAAAAGCUCUAACAUCUGCACUUUUAACUUUAAUUGGAGAUUUAAUC